rnacentral:rRNA from 1 species
UAGUGAGUUUGAUCCUGGCUCAGGAUGAACGCUGGCGGCGUGCUUAACACAUGCAAGUCGAACGAUGAUGCCCACUUGUGGGUGGAUUAGUGGCGAACGGGUGAGUAACACGUGAGUAACCUGCCCUUGACUCUGGGAUAAGCCUGGGAAACUGGGUCUAAUACCGGAUAUGACCUUCCAUCGCAUGGUGGUUGGUGGAAAGCUUUUGUGGUUUUGGAUGGACUCGCGGCCUAUCAGCUUGUUGGUGGGGUAAUGGCCUACCAAGGCGACGACGGGUAGCCGGCCUGAGAGGGUGACCGGCCACACUGGGGACUGAGACACGGCCCAGACUCCUACGGGAGGCAGCAGU